GGGAGGAUGCUCUGUGCUCAGUGGGGUUAGACAGGCUGAAAAUUGCUCUGUCCUGGAAUUUGCACACGAGAAUCUCUUACAAAUUACACUAGAGCAGACUGAGAGGGAGUACACAUGAGUAAAUUUAGUUUGCCUGAAAUUAAACCAGCAUUGAUGAGAGCAGGAUUUGGUCCUUAGAUCCUCAAUUGAGGGCACCUGUGUUUGGAAAGGGUUUAACUUACUGCUGUGCUUCAGAGAGCACCUUCCUAAUUUACUGGCUUCAUGCACAGUAUUGAAUAGUGGCAAAUUAACUAGAGGACUUGAUAAAAGGCAGUGUUGGCCCUACAGUGCCUCCUGGGAUGGAAUAUGAGCCAUUUUGUGGCUCUGAGUUGCUGAUUUCUCAUUGCUUGUGCUGGCUGCAGUAUUAUGAGGGCUGGAGUAGAAAACAACCAAGGGAAAUGGCAAAAAUGAGCCAGUGACUGCUAACUUAAGAAAAUCUGGUGUUACCCAGUCAGAAACACAUGAGUGGGUGUUCACAAGGUUUCUGUCACCUCUGCAGGAUAUGGCAUCUAUGAAACAGGCCAAAUAAUUAUCAGGGCUUCAUAUGGAGGAAGCUAGUAGCUAGAAAAUGAAUUGCAUGCAACCUUACUCUCAUGCCUUGAGUCUCUUGUAAGAUGAAGGUGCAGACAUGAGGAUAUGUGCUAUACAACUUAAUCUGUUUGGUAUGCAUCUUUGCAAAUGCUCAACUGUAUCUUUCCUGAAAAUGCUUGAGGCACAGUGCUACUUGAAGAAGGAUUCUCUUAAUAUUCCUAGAUUUCCAGUGUGGAGCUGCUACCUAGGAAGAACGCCAUGCUAUAUACCUAAGGCAGUAUCAUCAACAGGCACUGCGCUGGUUAAAGUUCAAAUCAUGAGUAUUUACUUACUGAGGUACAACUGGGGAGUUUAAAAUAUUUUAUAGCACCAUGUGUAAUCAGCUUAAGCAGAAAUUCUUUUGUAUUUGUGAGAAAACAAUUUGUAAGGAAUGCACUUGAAUAUGAACUUGCAAAUUGAGUGUACUGACUGGCAUUUCAGAUGUGUAUUGGAAAAAAUCUCUUUAAGGGGAAACUGCAGUAUUGAUCAUACCUAGUUAUUCCUUCCCCAUAAAUAUGCUUACAUAGAAUUUGAGGUGUAAUAUGGUUGUGUCUGUUUGCAUGCUGUAGGAAUGUUAUUAAAACAAUUGAAUAUAGCUUUGCUAGCUGAAACACCUUCAUGCUUUACAUGCCUUUUUAACUCUCUAAAGUCUACUUCAUGGUCUAGCAAAAGCUUGAAAUCAUGUUCACUAAUGCUGCCACUUAAGAAGUACGUAUUGCUUAUGUAUCAGGCUCUGUUUCAGUUAUAUCUGUAGAGGAGACAGGUGCUACAAAAGCUGUCUGAAUUCAGGAUGCCUGCUUUUUUUUUUUUUUUUGUUUAAAUGCUCAUUUGAUUUGUGUAUAAAAAAAAAAAAAUAAUAGUUUGGAAUGAUUUUAACUUUGAGGGAGUAUUGCUUGGUCUUCUACAAAAUGUCAGUAAAGGCCAAAUGAAGUUCAGUACAAAUCCUUAGAUGAAGGUCUGAGUGAGUUUGGUGAAUCUGAGUACUAUCCAGCCUUAGAAGACAAUCAAUGACCUUUAACAAGAUCUUGCAGCUUCUGCUUCUCCUGGAAAAAUUACUGGCUGUAGAUGGGUCAUAACCAGACACCUUUUGACAAGAAUUCAACUCAGUGUAUCUCUUUGAGAGGAAUCUCCAUCCAAAUGCAUGUCUGUUCAGAGUGUGCUCAGGCUCAAGUGUUCUAGGGGGCAUUAAUAUGGGUUUCUAGGUGUUAGUCUUCUAUGAAUUCAGUUCAGGUGGACUUAAGCAAGAUUAAUGUGUUGGUGUCCUCUCUGCACAUCAGCUCUGCUCGCAGGAAUAGUGUUAAAAGGGCUGUCCAGUCAUUCUUAGAAUUGAAAAUGUUGUAAAGAAACUGUUUCUAUGGAACAAUAUGCAAUUCUCAAGUAAUGGGAAUGUGCUAUUACUGUUUUCUACAGUUUGGCUAUGAAUGGUUUGGCUGCAUGUUGAGAUAUCAGGUGAAGGAAAUCUGAGGGUCAUGACUGCUAUUUACACAGUGGGGGAUGUGAGCACAUCAUCUUAUGGCUUUUGAUCAGCUUUAGAUAUAAGCAGUGAUUCUGAAACAUGUAGUCUCAAGCACAGGGAAAAUGUUUUUUUUUCUGUCAAGUUCUAUUUCUUGAGUUGUUUUCUGAUUUCAGCAUACAUACAUGCUUCUGUAUGGCUUUGAAAUUGUACAAUGACACCUUGCUUUCUUUGGCUUGAAUUCCUGCCUGUUUAUUCCUUUACAAAAACACAAGAAUGUAAUAGUUAAAAUGUUCUUUACUCAGCUGGCAUAAAUCUGUAGUUCCACUGGCUGCUCUAAUUUAAAUCCAAAUUUAAUCAAAUAUUAAAUUGGGUCCCAGCGAAAAUUGAAGUCAAAAGAGAACCCAUAGGUACCUAAAAUUCAAGUCUAAUUUUCCAGUAGAAGGGUAUCAGCUGCUACUUUGUGCAUUCACAAUCUCACAUUUGCUGCUUGUGGCUCAGUGACUGACGUUGGCUGUGAAGCCGGCACUUGGCUGCUCCUUUGGCCAGUGGAGAUGAAAUGUUGGCUGCUGGCUCUCUUAAAAGAGCAGAGCUAUAAAAUUAGAAAAUAAUAAAACAUGAUGAUUAGGUUAGGGUCACGAAAUAUUGUAAAUAGGAACAUAUUGGCCUUUAUGCUCUUUUUAAAGCUCUUUGUAUGUUGGCUAGCCAGCUUCCUGGAUGUCUGUGUUGCCUUAACCGUGUGACUGUCUAAAGGUGAUGUAUAACAGAAAAAAAUAAAUGACCUUUUAUGUAUACUAAGGCCUGAAACAACUUUUUCUUGAAAAUGUUUCCUCCCUGACCUUUAUCUUUUUCUAGCAGUGAAGUCUCCUUUUUCUUGCUGUCACUCAUGGAGAAGUUGGUAGCAUUUAGGACUGUGGUGAAGAAUUGUAAUGACUAGUACCUGUAUUCAUG